CUUUUCUAUUAACUAUUGCAACCAUAUUGGUGUACUGUUUAACCUCUUGUGUAUUAGAGGUACUUUAUCUAUAUACAGUAGACCCUGUUUUGCAGGAGGAGUUCAGAGGAUACUAAUACCCCACCCUCCCAUCUUGAAUUCAAUGACAUUGUUUAUAGAAAGUGGCUUAACUUUUUACUAUUAAAGUAUCUCUUUGUAUUUACACCUCUCUUGCUAGCAAGCGUCAGGAUUACCUAUAGUCUCUAUAUUUCUACU